rnacentral:tRNA from 1 species
CAUGAUGUAGCUUAAACCCCAAAGCAUCUGGCCUACACCCAGAAGACUUCGCGCCCACGAACAUCAUGA